rnacentral:rRNA from 1 species
AGUGAACGCUGGCGGUAGGCCUAACACAUGCAAGUCGAACGGCAGCACAGUAAGAGCUUGCUCUUACGGGUGGCGAGUGGCGGACGGGUGAGGAAUACAUCGGAAUCUACUUUUUCGUGGGGGAUAACGUAGGGCCACUUACGCUAAUACCGCAUACGACCUACGGGUGAAAGCAGGGGAUCUUCGGACCUUGCGCGAUUCAAUGAGCCGAUGUCGGAUUAGCUAGUUGGCGGGGUAAAGGCCCACCAAGGCGACGAUCCGUAGCUGGUCUGAGAGGAUGAUCGGCCACACUGGAACUGAGACACGGUCCAGACUCCUACGGGAGGCAGCAGUGGGGAAUAUUGGACAAUGGGCGCAAGCCUGAUCCAGCCAUGCCGCGUGGGUGAAGAAGGCCUUCGGGUUGUAAAGCCCUUUUGUUGGGAAAGAAAAGCAGCAGAUUAAUACCCGGCUGUUCUGACGGUACCCAAAGAAUAAGCACCGGCUAACUUCGUG